rnacentral:rRNA from 1 species
AUGGAGGCAUAUAAAAUUGAGAUGAAGAGAGAACUUAAUACUGUAGGAAACAUAUGCGACACAAGAGUAGGAACUAUGACUUUACAGGAAGUAACGAGUUGGUCUGUCACAGCAUACACUUUGUUGUGUUUUGAUCAAAAUGGUGCUGAAACCAAAAAGAACAAUAGAAACACACAAAAAACACGGACUAUGGAAGCAAACUACCUACACCAAAGAAACAUACAAAAUAUAAUAUGGUGCAUGGCAUAUUACAAUAGUGAUAACAAUAAGAAAAUAAGCAGGAAGUAUGGAAGCAUUCUAACAAAACAAAAGCAGCAUCAGAAGUAUAAUUUGGAAGCCCCAUCAGUACGAAGCAGGCAAAGAAUUAAGUGA